CAGUCAACAAUAGCAUAUUAAUGGGGAUGAUUUAAGGAGCCCAAGCUUCUAUUCUGUUGCCAGAAUGCCAACGGGAAUGUAUGCUACUUUUCAAAAAAUAGGUGUUGACAAUAGCCUGCAGUAUUGCACUGUAGUCAAAGAAGAGUGCUGAAAGCUUCAGUUCAUAAAAAUGCUUGAUUCAUCAAAAAUAAUCACCUCACCUGAUAAUUGAAAGCUACAGAGAAUUAUUAUGCAGCCGUGGACUCUCAAAAAUUUAUUCAUUUUUGGUAAUUAACAUUAUUUCUUCUUGAUGAUGUUGCUAAAUGGCUUGAACCCAGUCUGAAGAACCAUGCAUGAUCAUUUAUGCUGAAAAGAAAAGAAAUUAGAAGCUUUUGUUGCACAGAAUGGUGGAUAAAGAUUGCGAAUUUGCACAGCUAUAAAGCUUACUAAUUAAAGACUACAAACACAAAGAGAGCAAGCCUUGUGAUGACUGCACAAUAACGAGGAUUCAGAUACAACGUGGUCGCCACCUGACGCCCACCUCCACAAAAAGCCAUUCUCAAAAGGAGAGAGACAUUCAUAUCCAGAAGAGGGAGUCGGCUGUAGGGUAGAGCACUUCAAAUGCAUCAAAGGUCCAGAGAGAAGCUUCUUCUGGUCACCUUGAUCUUGUGAUGCAAGGCAGGUGGGAGCAAGGGCUCCACCUCUGCAGACACAGAGAUGACGGGGUCGCCAUGCCGGCGUUUUAGUCCCGGUUUCCUCUGCUCGAGUAGUUGGUGGCCUCCUGCCUGUUCCCUAACAUAACUUCACUUUCCUUACCUGCAAAACGAAAUUAGUAUUUCCUCCCUCACAAGGUGCUUGAUGCCCUUCCCCUUGCGUUUACUUUGCCUGAGAGACUAUAUCAUAUCUAUGAUUUUGUGAAUGGGGCAAAAGGAAUUGAGAGUGUCAGGGUAUACCUUAUAAAUAAGCCACUAAAGGUUACAUCCUCAUUCCACAAACUGACCUAAACAAUUUGGCUGUCACUAAUAGAUUAUUUUGGUCAGUUAUGGCAUUUAGAGGGAGAAGAGAGAGUAUAUAUAUAUGGGUGGGGUGUGUGUGUAUGCGUGUGUAUGUGUGUGUUUACAGUCAAAAUACCAAAAUAUAUCUAUGUAUAUAAAUAUAUUUGCUUUCUUUGUUUUUGUUACAAUAAACUUGUACAUACAAUUCUGACACACAUAUUUUCAUAUGUAGGCACAAAAAUAGUCAUACAAAAAAUACCACAAAAGGUAAUAACAAAGUGGAAGAAGACAUAGGAACAGAGAACAAACCAACACAUAGAAAAAGUAACAAACAUGGUAGAUACGAAUCCAGCUAUAUCAAUAAUCGCGUUAAACAUCAAUGGUCUUAAAUAUACUAGACAGUGGAAUAUUAUUCAGCAUUGAAAAGAAAUGACCUAUCAAGCCAUGAAAGACAAGGAGGAACCUUAAAUGCAUGUUACUGAGUGAAAGAAGCCAAUCUGAAAAGGCUGCAUCCUGCAGGAUUCUGACUCUAUGACAUUCUGGAAAAGGUAAAACUACUAAGACAGUGAAAAGAUCAGUAGCUGCCAGGGGUUACGGGAAGGGGAUGAUGAAUAAGUGGGGCACAGCAUUUUGAGGAGGUGAAACUACUCUGUAGGAUACUGUAACAGUAAAUCCAUGUCAUUAUAUGUUUGUACACACCCAUAGAACACCAGGAGGACAGCACCAAGAGGGAGCCCUAGUGUGAACUGUGGACUCUGGUUGGUAAUGAUGUGCCUGUGAAGCUUCAUUGUUUGCAGCAAAUGCAUCAGUGUGGUGGGGGAUGUUUCUAAAUUGAUAAUGAAGGACGCCAUAGGUGUAUGGGGGCAGAGAGUUUAUGAGAAAUCUGUACCUUUUGCUCAAUUUUACUGAACAUAAAACUGCUGAAGCCAUCAUUCUCAGCAAACUAACCCAGGAGCAGAAAACCAAACGCCGCAUGUUCUCACUCAUAAGUGGGAGUUGAACAAUGAGAACACAUGGACACAGGGAGGGGAACAUCGUCACACACCGGAGCCUGUCGCAGGGUGGGGAGCUGGGGGAGGGAGAGCAUUAAGACAAAUACCUAAUGCAUGUGGGGCUUAAAACCUAGAUGAUAGGUUGAUAGGUGCAGCAAACCACCAUGGCACAUGUAUACCUAUGUAACAAACCUGCACAUUCUGCACAUGUAUCCCAGAACUUAAAGUAAAAUAUAUUAAAAAAAUUAAAGUCUAUUUUAAAAAAAGAAAA
rnacentral:lncRNA from 1 species